UAAGAAUUUUUAGCAUGUCUUUUAUCGCCUCUGACGUCACAAUUCCAACAUGAUCAGCGAGGAACCAGGAGCCUUAAUAAACAAUGUAGUACUAAAGAAAUUAGAGUAUAAGACAAACUAUAUCCUGAAGACUAUUUGGUAGACGACGACAUCUUGCAUUCUGUACAGCUAUCAUGAAAAAAGAAAACUCACCAUGGAACAAACUUAUAUAAGGAAUUAGACGAAAGAUUACUUUCUGCAUAAUGUGUAGUGGUGGGUUCAGCCAGACGAAACUGUGUAUUAUUUCACUCGAAGAUCAAGAAUAAUAUCCAUAAUGUAGAAUCCCAAGAUGUUUCCUGCAAUGGAUGCACUACGAACAACGCGACAGUGGAAAAGAAAAAUGAACAAAAUAUUAUAACGCGAAAGAGCGAUUUCGGUGCUGGCGCUUCUAGUUUGGAUGAAUCUAAUGUAUUCGGCAAUUGUUGUCUAGAUAUCUCAAUCGAGUAUUGAUCACCAGCAAAAGCUUUGAUAAAAGUAUUACUCAACAAAUUCAUUAUUAACGGCACACCGUGCAGUGCUGUGCCAGAAUAAAAACCGUUAGCCGAUAUCGUGCUGUUUUCAGUGGCAUUAAAUUCGGCAGAUACGAUAAAGUGGUUACGGUAUUCUGCGAUAUCCCGCAGAGAAACAUUCAGAAGAGCUGUAAGAACCAAAAUACUAAUAAAACUAUUGUUUAAUAUAA